rnacentral:sRNA from 1 species
CUGUCGCUGCUGCUGCUGCUGCUGUUGCUGCUGCUGCUGCUGUUGCUCGACCAAAUGUUGCUGCUGUGCAGCUCGCAGUUUCUGCUGCUGGGGUAGUGGCAACUGCGGACGCUGAUUCACAUGACCAUUGCCAUUGCCCAUGCCUAGAGGCUGUUGAUAUUGCUGUUGCUGUUGCUGUUGCUGUAGCUGUAGCUGCUGCUGCUGUAAACGUUGCUGCUGCUGCAUCAUAUUCUU